rnacentral:rRNA from 1 species
GGUGACCUCGAUCAUGUAGAGCCGGGCUGU